UUGAGUUGAUUCAAGACAUCAAGCAGCCACAGCAGCACAACUAAGGAUGCUCAUAAAAGAGGACUUCAGAAAUUGGCAAGAGGAAGGGUUUUCAGGUCUUUGGACACAGAUUGAACUAUACCAUUCUACCAGCACUUUUGGUUCUCCAGCUUGAAGAUGCUAGAUCAUGGAACUUCUCAGCCUCCAUAAUCAGCUCUCCAAGUUUUCUGCAAUGGCAGAGACCUGAUAUGUCCACGUGGUUCUUGUAAGAAUUAAAGAAGAUUCUAAGUACUUAACACAUGUAGUUAUUAUUUUACUAUUAAAACAUUG